CAAGCAGAUCGGGUGACCGCGCUAUGUUUGAGACAUAGCGAGGAAAGUCCGAGCUCCACCGAGCGGGGUGCUGGGUAACGCCCAGGAGGGGUAACCCUACGGAAAGUGCCACAGAAACACACCGCUCGUCCCUUGUGACAAGCAAAGGACGAGCAAGGGUGAAAUGGUGAGGUAAGAGCUCACCAGCAACCAGGUGACUGGUUGGCUGGGCAAACCCCACCCGGAGCAAGACCGAAUAAGAGGACGCUUGAGGCGCUCGGCCGAUGUCUUCGGGUUGGUCGCUUGACCCUGAUGGUAACAUCAGGGCUAGAUGGAUGGUCACCGCCCUAUUGCAGGGUACAGGACUCGGCUUAUAGAUCUACUUGUCCC
rnacentral:RNase_P_RNA from 1 species